UGUGGUCUGGAAACUUCCUCUCCUUUCAGGUCUUAGAAAAAGUUCUUUUUCCUCUCUCUGGGGCAGGUGCACCACGGGGCGCCCUGCCUGGCCACUGCCCCCGACCUCCCCCCCCCCCCCCCCGCUUCAUCCCUUUCUUCUCUGAGGGGCGUGGGGACUUUGCCAGGCAGAGCCACUGAGAGACUGACGGUCCGAGGGAAACACGGAGGCGAGACAUAGGAAGAAAGGAAGGUGGAAAAAAGAAGAUGAAGAACCCUCCCUGCCAGCACAUUCUCAGUCUUCUGAGUAAAGUUCCUGGAGCCCCCGGAGGCAAAGGCAUUCGAUCAAUUAAGCAACUAAGCACGAAGCAUGCUCAAAAACGCCACCAGGAACCGCAGAGAGAAAGUUCCUAAAAUAAACGCCCGAGGCCCACAGCAUCCAGGUCCCCAGCCCCCAGCGACCGGCUGGAGUCACUCCUGCACUUGGAAGAGGUGAUUAGGACCCAGACGUGCCCAGAGGGCUGACCACGUGAAGACACACGGGUAAGACAGUUGUCUGUAAGCCGAGGAGUGAGGCUCCAAGAGAAAUCAACCCUGCGGACAACUUGAUCUUGGACUUUCAGGCUCCAGAACCGUGAGAAAAUGAAUUUGUCGCUUAGCUGCCCAGCCUGUGGGGCUUUGCCGCCCGGCCUAAGGGGCUUUGCCAAGGCCACCCCCGCAAAUAAUGCACCGUGCCAGCUGAAGCUGGCCAGCCCACACGGUGCGGGCCCUCUGCUCUCCCCACAAGCCCUGCCUUCUCUCUUUGCACUGCUGUCCCUCGGGUCUAAGGGCCGUAUUUCCCCCGGCUCACCUACUUGGCAGCAGACAAAUGCCGUCCUCUGCAAAGCCUGCUGGCCUCCUGUCCUCCGCAGCCUGUAUCCCAGAGUUCCUACGCACGGUCAUUUAUUUUCAGAUAACUCACUCAGAAAUUCUGAGCUGGCCCUUCCGUGGCCCCAAGUCCUCCAUGCACUUACAGCAAUUCCCCAGCAAACGAAUGUCACUUCUGCACGAUCGAGACAGACCAAAUUAGCGCUUAGCAGAGAAAGGGGCUGCUGCUGCUUUUUCUUUUUUUUUUUUUUUUUCUUUUUGCAAAUCAUAUAACUCUAAACUACCUCCAAUUUCCUAAAUGGAAUCUGGCUCGAGAUUCACUCUGGGAUGGAGCAGUCUGUAAUGAGAUUACAUUAUGUUUGGGGGAAAACAUUCAAAUGACCAAGAGAAUUAAUUUUGCAUCCCAACCGAUAGCAAGAUCCAAAGCCGUAAGUCAGAGCCUGCAACCUGCCGGUGCCCCUGGGGAUGAUAACGUUUCUUUCAGAAUACAGCGACACGGACAGUUCCGGGGGCCCAUGAAAUGCGGAGGUUUUAAAGCUGGAGCCGUUGGGUUCUUUCCGUUCCGGCGACAAUGCUCAUCUUUUCUCAGUAGCUGUCAUUUACUGUGGCUCUCUCCCAGGCUUGGGAAGAUGAAAGAAAUCCCCAGACCCAAAGGAGCUUCCUGGAUGGGUUUCGCUGGGAGGAAUCUUUUGAGAAUCAAUUUAAAGCAUUUAAAAUGUUUGGUGCUGUUGUGAAGGCUCAGCUUAUGGUAGCAUGGAGUGUGUGCAUGUGUGUGUAUGUGUGUGUGUGCAUGCACACAUGCAAUCUCAUCUUUUAAAAGGAAAGAAUAAGAUUAAACUCUCUUUGGUUCUUUGAAUCCUCUUCGCCAGGUGGCUUUAUUUGUAUGAUAUUAGACUUGUCUGAACAUCUGGGAAGGAUCCGAGUUGGCAGCAAUUUUCUGAUUCUGAUUCAUUGUUAAAAUCAGCUCAGAAAUAGCCAGGAGCUGGCAGGCUGCCCACCUCCAUCCUUGUAUGUGUUGGCUGCAUCUAAUUCGAACAAGGUCUAAGGACGUGUGUGAGCCACACUGUUCACAAGAGCCAAGACAUGGGAACAACCGAAAUGUCCAUCAGUGGAUGAGCAGAUAUGCAAAUUGUGGUAUAUCCAUACAGUGGAAUAUUACUCAGCCAAAAAAGGAAGGAGAUGUUGAAAAUAUGACGCUGAGAGAAGCCAGACACAAACAGUCACAUGUCUUACGGUUCCUUUUAUAUGAAAUGUUCGGGGUAAGUAAAUCCACAGAGACAGAAAGCAGAUUGGUGGUUGCCUGGGGCUGGGGAGAGAGAGAAGUGGGGAGUGACAGCCUAAUGGGUCCGAGGUUUCUUCUGGGGUGAUGCAAAUGUCUUGGAACUAGACAGAGGUGAUGGUUGCACAAUAUUGUGAAUGUGUUAAAUGCCAAUGAAUCAUUCAUUUUUAAAUGAUUAAGUUAUGUGAAUUUCACCUUGAUUUUAAAAAACGUUCCUUCCGUCUCUAUAUCCCACCAGAUCUUGGGGGCUUCCUCUGGGAAAAUUAGGGUGUUGGACCAGAAACAGAGAUUUCAAACUUGCAGGUGGUAGACCACAUUUGGCGAGUUGGUGAUUAACUGGGCAGACACAAUGGUUUACAAAAUUCCAAACCUGACUUUUCUUCAUGGUAGUUGCUUUCCAAGGGUGAGCCUCCCUCCUCCCUGCAGUGAGCCAUGCCUUCUGGGCUUCGUGUUCUGCGAAGCCCCCCCUCGCGCCAAAUCCGGGCUGGCCCCGUGAUUGGCUCUGACUAGCAGAUGCCACAGACGGGACAUGAUGUAGCCUCCACGUCUGGACCUUGAGAAACCUGCAGUUUCCACGGGUGGGAUAUGCCCUCUCAGAACCCAGACGCCACGUCGUGAGAAAGCCCGAGCUGCGUGAGGAGGCACACCGAGUGCGGGGAGCAGCGGCCGCCAGCCACGUGCGCGAGCGGUCCUGGCACUGCAGCCCCAGCGGGCCCUGGGGGACGGCUCUAGCUGGCCUCCUGUGGAGCUUUUGGAAAGGCAUAGCUAUAGAUAUAGUGUUUAUAUUACAUGUCUCUGUAUCUAUGUCUGAAUCUGUAUCUGUCUACAUAAACAUGUAGAUAUAAUCAUCUGUCUGUCUGCCCAUCUAAUGAUUCAUUAAUUGGCUUACACAAGUCCAGAAUCUGCAGGGCAGGCCGUCAGGCUUGAGUCCCAGGAAGAGUAGAUGACGCCCUCAAGCCCUGAGGCAGUCGGCUGGCAGAAUUUCUUCUUUCUUCCAGGAUGUCCAUCUUUUCUCUUAUGGCCUUCAGCUGAUUGAAUGAGGCCCACCGACAUUAUGGAGGAUAAUCUGCUUUCUUUAAAGUCUACUGAUUUAAAUAUUAAUCUCAUCUAGAAAAAUACCCUGUCAACAUCUGGACUGGUGUUUGACCACAUGUGUGGGUAACGUGGCCCAGUGAGGUUGACAAGUACAGUUAACCCUCACAGGGGCAGUGAACUGACCGUGAGUGACCCCUCACUGACAGGCAGUCUCCCAAAUUACAGUCCUGUCCAUGCUCCGCCCAGAUGCCCUUGGAUCUGUUUCCUGUUUCCAGGCAGCUCUGCCUGCUGCGGCCCCUGCCCUCAGAGCUGCCCUGCCUGACCUGGGGUUUCUGUUCCCUGGAGUGGCCCUUGGCCAGGACCCAAGGGGAUAAGAGCCAGAAGCCCAGCCCCCUCUCAGGCUGAGGCAUCUUGGAGGCCUGACUCACUCUCUGCGAUCCUCGUGGGGUCAGGCAUAGGCCACCCUCCAUGGUCUGGAGCUUCCCCCAAGCCCCGGCCUUGCUGGAUUCCUUCGCCUUCUCCCUGCCGGCUCCCCACUCACCCUACUCCCUCCCUCCCCAGUUUCUCCUGCAAGCACUCAAAUCCUCAUCUCCGGAUGGGCUUCUGGUAAGCCCAACCUGAGACAGACUCAGCUGCGCGAGGGGGGCCGGGCGUGUUGCAGUCACCUGCAAUCACUGGAAGAAACGCCGAGCACCUGCUGGGUGCAGAGCAUCAUUUCUCGGCCUUGGAGAUGGGGCGCCGGCGCCGGCAGGCAGCACCCUCUGCUUGUGGGCUGGCACCCUCACGUUCGGCCCAGCAGGGAGGCGCUCCGAGGCCGGGUGGACCGUGCGUGUCUGUACCGCUCAUCUGGUCCGUGCCUGGUCAUUGUCAGUCCAGCCGCGCCCCACGAGGCCUUGGCAGGCACCCGAGAAGGCGGCCCCGGGCUUCUGUUUGGUUUGUGCUGUUUCCCCGCGGCCUCUGGUUUCUUGCUCUUACAAGCAGAAAUCAAGUGCACGUUCCAUGCAGCUGCCAGCGCCAGGCGGGUCUCAUCCCUUAUGCCGCCUCACCAAGCCACAGGUGCUGUGCCCCCCCCCCGCGGAGCGCCCCACCCUCGGCCUCCGCGCUCGCCCACGGCUCUCCUCUCCUCCUCACCCCUGCUUCCCGCAGCCCCCACCCCAAUCAUGCCAAUCAAACAGCGAAUAAACUCCCGGACGUGAGCCAGGCGUUCCUCCCCCAUCAGAGGCCCCGCGCGCCCCAGACCACCUCGGGCUGUGAUCACCGCAGACGCACGUGAAGGUGCGCUGGUGUUCGGUGGCGGAUAUGGAAAUUCAAUAAAAGGACCAGUGUCUUUAGAAGGAGAGAAGAUUAGGACAGGGCGCGCACGCAGGAAAGACCCUGUGAGGACCCCAGGAGAAGACGGCCGCCUGCAAUCCAAGGAGGGAGGCCUUGGAGGAAACCAACCCUGCGGACACCUUGAUGUUGGAUUCUCAGCCUCUGGAAUUGUGGGAAAGUAAACUUCUGUUGUCUAA